rnacentral:rRNA from 1 species
GGGUUGUGAGGUUAAGCGACUAAGCGUACACGGUGGAUGCCCUGGCAGUCAGAGGCGAUGAAGGGCGUGCUAAUCUGCGAUAAGCGCCGGUAAGGUGAUAUGAACCGUUAUAACCGGCGAUACCCGAAUGGGGAAACCCAGUGUGAUUCGUCACACUAUCAUUAACUGAAUCCAUAGGUUAAUGAGGCGAACCGGGGGAACUGAAACAUCUAAGUACCCCGAGGAAAAGAAAUCAACCGAGAUUCCCCCAGUAGCGGCGAGCGAACGGGGAGGAGCCCAGAGCCUGAAUCAGCAUGUGUGUUAGUGGAAGCGUCUGGAAAGGCGCGCGAUACAGGGUGACAGCCCCGUACACAAAAGCGCAUGUGCUGUGAGCUCGAUGAGUAGGGCGGGACACGUGGUAUCCUGUCUGAAUAUGGGGGGACCAUCCUCCAAGGCUAAAUACUCCUGACUGACCGAUAGUGAACCAGUACCGUGAGGGAAAGGCGAAAAGAACCCCGGCGAGGGGAGUGAAAAAGAACCUGAAACCGUGUACGUACAAGCAGUGGGAGCACAGGUUUACCUGUGUGACUGCGUACCUUUUGUAUAAUGGGUCAG